rnacentral:rRNA from 1 species
GUCCACGCCGUAAACGAUGAUAACUAGCUGUCCGGGUACAUGGUAUUUGGGUGGCGCAGCUAACGCAUUAAGUUAUCCGCCUGGGGAGUACGGUCGCAAGAUUAAAACUCAAAGGAAUUGACGGGGGCCUGCACAAGCGGUGGAGCAUGUGGUUUAAUUCGAAGCAACGCGCAGAACCUUACCAACGUUUGACAUCCCUAUCGCGGUUACCAGAGAUGGUUUCCUUCAGUUCGGCUGGAUAGGUGACAGGUGCUGCAUGGCUGUCGU